UGUCCAGUUGUCCCUGGCACUGAGGAGCCCAGAACUGGGCACAGGGCUCCAGGUGGGGCCUCACCAGUGCUGAGCAAGAAAGGAAGCACCACCUCCCUUGACCUGAUGGCGAUACUUUGCCUAAUGCAGCCAAGAAUACUGUUAGCCUUCUUGGCAGCAAUAGCUUGGCAAGGAAGAAGAGGAAGCAAGGAAGACGCUGUGCCGUUCCUGCCUCCCCAUCCUCUCUUCUUCACCCACAGAAGCUGACGGCCCCACCAGGCUCUUGCAGUUUACCGCUGCCUUGCCUUUGCCCUUUCUGCACCAGCAUGGACCAGCGCUGCCCAGCCCUCUACAAGAAAACACAGCUGCUGCCCGUGACGUGCAGCCCAGAUGCCUCUGACUCAUGCUCCUGCCAUGGGAACACCUUCCUUCACUAAUCAGUCCCCGGCACCACCUGGGGACAGGGGUGUCCCCAAACUGCCAGCCCCCAGGGGACCGCGGGGAGGUUGGGCUCCAGCUCCUGGUUCUCCCUCUUCUUCCCUCCACCUUACAAUGGGGCUGACCCUGACUCUUGGGAAGGACACCUGGGCGUUCUUCACUGGGGAGAAGGCGUGAUUAAGAGCGUAAAUGAUCCGGCUGACUUCCGUGGGAGUGCCUGGAUGUGUGGUUGAACUUGUGCCCGCAGCUUGACAAGAGUGAAACUUCCACAUGGGCUCGCCCGUGCCCUGAUGAAACAGCACACAAGGAACUCGGUUCCAGAUUACACCAACUCGUUCUUUUUCCUCCUAUCAUGGCAGGCCAAACCAGUACACAGCUACUGAUUUUAAACCCAGGUUUGAAACCAGUUCUCCAAACGCCUCUCGCACCCCGGUGCAAAGAUAGUUGUGCAAAGCAUAAUUGGUGUAAUAAAGCCCAGGAUAAUAACA